GCUAAACGCGAAGAACCUUACCAAGGCUUGACAUAUACGAGAACGCUCUAGAAAUAGAGAACUCUUUGGACACUCGUAUACAGGUGGUGCAUGGUUGUCGUCAGCUCGUGUCGUGAGAUGUUGGGUUAAGUCCCGCAACGAGCGCAACCCUUGUCCUUAGUUGCCAGCGAGUAAUGUCGGGAACUCUAAGGAGACUGCCGGUGACAAACCGGAGGAAGGUGGGGAUGACGUCAAAUCAUCAUGCCCCUUAUGUCUUGGGCUUCACGCAUGCUACAAUGGCCGGUACAAAGGGCUGCAAUACCGUAAGGUGGAGCGAAUCCCAAAAAGCCGGUCUCAGUUCGGAUUGAGGUCUGCAACUCGACCUCAUGAAGUCGGAGUCGCUAGUAAUCGCAGAUCAGCAACGCUGCGGUGAAUACGUUCCCGGGUCUUGUACACACCG
rnacentral:rRNA from 1 species